rnacentral:piRNA from 1 species
UAAGGAAAGAUGUAUUUUGGUUCCUCAAU